GAUGAACGCUGGCGGCGUGCCUAAUACAUGCAAGUCGAGCGAACAGACGAGGAGCUUGCUCCUCUGACGUUAGCGGCGGACGGGUGAGUAACCCGUGGAUAACCUACCUAUAAGACUGGGAUAACUUCGGGAAACCGGAGCUAAUACCGGAUCAUAUAUUGAACCGCAUGGUUCAAUAGUGAAAGACGGUUUUGCUGUCACUUAUAGAUGGUUCCGCGCCGCAUUAGCUAGUUGGUAAGGUAACGGCUUACCAAGGCGACGAUGCGUAGCCGACCUGAGAGGGUGAUCGGCCACACUGGAACUGAGACACGGUCCAGACUCCUACGGGAGGCAGCAGUAGGGAAUCUUCGGCAAUGGGCGAAAGCCUGACGGAGCAACGCCGCGUGAGUGAUGAAGGUCUUCGGAUCGUAAAACUCUGUUAUUAGGGAAGAACAAAUGUGUAAGUAACUAUGCACGUCUUGACGGUACCUAAUCAGAAAGCCACGGCUAACUACGUG
rnacentral:rRNA from 1 species